rnacentral:rRNA from 1 species
UACGGGGGGGGCAAGCGUUGUUCGGAAUUACUGGGCGUAAAGGGCUCGUAGGCGGCCAACUAAGUCAGACGUGAAAUCCCUCGGCUUAACCGGGGAACUGCGUCUGAUACUGGAUGGCUUGAGUUUGGGAGAGGGAUGCGGAAUUCCUAGUGUAGAGGUGAAAUUCGUAGAUAUUAGGAAGAACACCAGUGGCGAAGGCGGCUCACUGGCCCGGUACUGACGCUGAGGCGCGAAAGCGUGGGGAGCAAACAGG